rnacentral:rRNA from 1 species
UCUCCGUAGUGAACCUGCGGAGGGAUCAUUA